GAUGAACGCUAGCGACAGGCUUAACACAUGCAAGUCGAGGGGCAGCACAGGUAGCAAUACCGGGUGGCGACCGGCGCACGGGUGAGUAACGCGUAUGCAACUUACCUAUCAGAGGGGGAUAACCCGGCGAAAGUCGGACUAAUACCGCAUGAAGCAGGGGUCCCGCAUGGGGAUAUUUGCUAAAGAUUCAUCGCUGAUAGAUAGGUAUGCGUUCCAUUAGGCAGUUGGCGGGGUAACGGCCCACCAAACCGACGAUGGAUAGGGGUUCUGAGAGGAAGGUCCCCCACAUUGGUACUGAGACACGGACCAAACUCCUACGGGAGGCAGCAGUGAGGAAUAUUGGUCAAUGGCCGAGAGGCUGAACCAGCCAAGUCGCGUGAGGGAUGAAGGUUCUAUGGAUCGUAAACCUCUUUUAUAAGGGAAUAAAGUGCGGGACGUGUCCCGUUUUGUAUGUACCUUAUGAAUAAGGAUCGGCUAACUCCGU
rnacentral:rRNA from 1 species